rnacentral:rRNA from 1 species
UGGCGGCGUGCCUAAUACAUGCAAGUCGAGCGAGCGGACGAGAAGCUUGCUUCUCUGAUGUUAGCGGCGGACGGGUGAGUAGCACGUGGAUAACCUACCUAUAAGACUGGGAUAACUUCGGGAAACCGGAGCUAAUACCGGAUAAUAUUUUGAACCGCAUGGUUCAAAAGUGAAAGACGGUCUUGCUGUCACUUAUAGAUGGAUCCGCGCUGCAUUAGCUAGUUGGUAAGGUAACGGCUUACCAAGGCAACGAUGCAUAGCCGACCUGAGAGGGUGAUCGGCCACACUGGAACUGAGACACGGUCCAGACUCCUACGGGAGGCAGCAGUAGGGAAUCUUCCGCAAUGGGCGAAAGCCUGACGGAGCAACGCCGCGUGAGUGAUGAAGGUCUUCGGAUCGUAAAACUCUGUUAUUAGGGAAGAACAUAUGUGUAAGUAACUGUGCACAUCUUGACGGUACCUAAUCAGAAAGCCACGGCUAACUACGUGCCAGCAGCCGCGGUAAUACGUAGGCGGCAAGCGUUAUCCGGAAUUAUUGGGCGUAAAGCGCGCGUAGGCGGUUUUUUAAGUCUGAUGUGAAAGCCCACGGCUCAACCGUGGAGGGUCAUUGGAAACUGGAAAACUUGAGUGCAGAAGAGGAAAGUGGAAUUCCAUGUGUAGCGGUGAAAUGCGCAGAGAUAUGGAGGAACACCAGUGGCGAAGGCGACUUUCUGGUCUGUAACUGACGCUGAUGUGCGAAAGCGUGGGGAUCAAACAGGAUUAGAUACCCUGGUAGUCCACGCCAUAAACGAUGAGUGCUAAGUGUUAGGGGGUUUCCGCCCCUUAGUGCUGCAGCUAACGCAUUAAGCACUCCGCCUGGGGAGUACGACCGCAAGGUUGAAACUCAAAGGAAUUGACGGGGACCCGCACAAGCGGUGGAGCAUGUGGUUUAAUUCGAAGCAACGCGAAGAACCUUACCAAAUCUUGACAUUCUUUGACAACUCUAGAGAUAGAGCCUUCCCCUUCGGGGGACAAAGUGACAGGUGGUGCAUGGUUGUCGUCAGCUCGUGUCGUGAGAUGUUGGGUUAAGUCCCGCAACGAGCGCAACCCUUAAGCUUAGUUGCCAUCAUUAAGUUGGGCACUCUAAGUUGACUGCCGGUGACAAACCGGAGGAAGGUGGGGAUGACGUCAAAUCAUCAUGCCCCUUAUGAUUUGGGCUACACACGUGCUACAAUGGACAAUACAAAGGGCAGCGAAACCGCGAGGUCAAGCAAAUCCCAUAAAGUUGUUCUCAGUUCGGAUUGUAGUCUGCAACUCGACUACAUGAAGCUGGAAUCGCUAGUAAUCGUAGAUCAGCAUGCUACGGUGAAUACGUUCCCGGGUCUUGUACACACCGCCCGUCACACCACGAGAGUUUGUAACACCCGAAGCCGGUGGAGUAACCUUUUAGGAGCUAGCCGUCGAAGGUGGGACAAAUGAUUGGGGUGAAGUCAUA